rnacentral:misc_RNA from 1 species
AAAGUCGUAACAAGGUCUCCGUAGGUGAACCUGCGGAGGGAUCAUUCACAUGAAUCCUUGAAUCAACCAAUCUGUGAACUUGUUUUGGUGGCUCGAGUCUUGCAACUUCGGUUGUUUAAGAUUCGUCAUCAAAUCCUUGUGCACAUUGACAGCUUGCGAAAGCACUGUCAACUGUGUUACUUGGAACCCCACACACAACCUUCACACUCUGUGUGCCUCGAAAGAGACACGCAAAGUGUCGAACAUUCGAUAACCAAAUAGAUAGCUGGACGCAAGUCUCAGCUGACCUGUCAAUCCGUCAAACGAUUGAUUGUGUCAUUCAACAACAUAGAAACAACUCUAUGCCCUGGAUAUCUUGGUUCUC